rnacentral:rRNA from 1 species
UGGGGGGAUUAGUGGCGAACGGGUGAGUAACACGUGAGUAACCUGCCCUUGACUCUGGGAUAAGCCUGGGAAACUGGGUCUAAUACCGGAUACGACCAUCUGGCGCAUGUCAUGGUGGUGGAAAGCUUUUGUGGUUUUGGAUGGACUCGCGGCCUAUCAGCUUGUUGGUGGGGUAAUGGCCUACCAAGGCGACGACGGGUAGCCGGCCUGAGAGGGUGACCGGCCACACUGGGACUGAGACACGGCCCAGACUCCUACGGGAGGCAGCAGUGGGGAAUAUUGCACAAUGGGCGCAAGCCUGAUGCAGCGACGCCGCGUGAGGGAUGACGGCCUUCGGGUUGUAAACCUCUUUCAGUAGGGAAGAAGCGAAAGUGACGGUACCUGCAGAAGAAGCGCCGGCUAACUACGUGCCAGCAGCCGCGGUAAUACGUAGGGCGCAAGCGUUAUCCGGAAUUAUUGGGCGUAAAGAGCUCGUAGGCGGUUUGUCGCGUCUGCUGUGAAAGACCGGGGCUCAACUCCGGUUCUGCAGUGGGUACGGGCAGACUAGAGUGCAGUAGGGGAGACUGGAAUUCCUGGUGUAGCGGUGAAAUGCGCAGAUAUCAGGAGGAACACCGAUGGCGAAGGCAGGUCUCUGGGCUGUAACUGACGCUGAGGAGCGAAAGCAUGGGGAGCGAACAGGAUUAGAUACCCUGGUAGUCCAUGCCGUAAACGUUGGGCACUAGGUGUGGGGGACAUUCCACGUUUUCCGCGC